rnacentral:lncRNA from 1 species
AAAUAUCCCCCAGGACUACUACGAAACUUCAUCUCCCCCUUUCUUCUCUAUCUCUCUCACCUGCAUACUCACAAAUACCUCACAUGCUUGAUAUCUUUGGAACUAUUUCAAAUCUACUUCCAUAUCUUCAUUCGAUCAUCAAACUAUACAAGAAAUAUGAUCAAAUAUCUCACUACUGAAUUUAUUUUUAGAUAACACUCUUCACAUGCCCCUUCAUCUUCUCAACUCCCUCUCUCUCGUGUUCCUUUAGAUCACAGAAAAACCCAGCAACAACCGAAGUUGUUGCCUUCUUCAACCCAACCUCUCGUAUUCCUUCCAUUUUAAUGGCAGACUGACCGAUAACCACAAAACCACCGCCAUGGCCAGUUGAAGCAAGCCUCCGAUCGCAAACAGGACCGUCGACACUGCUCACUGGAGAAGAAGAACCGGCGACAACCACUAUUUACCCUCCUGUCUUCAUCUCUUUUCAACCUUCAAGCAGUUUCUCGUCAUUCCUUACUCCUCCAUUGAUCUCAAGUAACCAUAUAUCAUUCUUUUCUAUUCAGAACACAUUCAAAAAUCCCGAAGAACAGCCAACACCUGCCAUGGUGGCCGGUGGCAUGAACAGUCCCGACAAGAUAAUCCCGAUGAUGGGUUCGAUACUAAACAAACAUAUAUAGUUUCCUUAUUACGUUACCUUUCUGUUUCUAGGUGUAUAAGUCGACUCCAAGAAUCCCGGAGCAAAACCCGCUCAAAACUCGAUCUUCCCGACACUUCCCAACUCUCGCUACUAAUGUGAGUCUCCAUGGCCCCUUUUUACUUUGUUAAACAGUUAUGGGGGGGGGGGGGGGNAUACACACAAGCAUAUGAUAUUAAAGGUUCAAACUAUAAGAAAUUGCAUGAGUUCAUAAAAUUUUAAAUGUUACAUUUAUUACUUAUAUGACACUUUUAUACAUAUUGUGACCGUUUUUGUGUCGCAUAAAAGCUUUUAUCCACAAAAAUGCACUAUUCACGUAAAAUGGAGUUAUGAAUUUCUUACCCUAUAAAACUUGUUGUACUUAUUCUUAUAUCAUAAUGAAACAUUAAAAAUCUCCAAAUUUUGUAUCUAUAUACCUCAUUGCAUGUUAUUCUAUUAUUUACAUAUAUGUAAAUAAUUAUACGUAAUAUGUUACUGUUAUUAUAUAUAGGUCACUUUUGGGUAUAAAAAUGUGCAAAAUUAUAGACUUAUAUAAACCCAAUAAGACAUACAUAUGUACUAAUAUGUCUAAGACAUACAUAUUUACUAAUAUGUCGACUAAUGGUUAUAUAUAUAAAAAUAAUAAUAAUAAUAGUAAUUUUGGAUGUUUAAUAUUGUCACUUUAUAAAAUAUUAAAUAUUUGGUUACAAGAAUAUUUGUUAAAUUUCUAGCUGUUAUUAUAAACUAAUAAACUAUAGGUUUAUAUCUGAUAAUCGUUAAAAUUGUGGAUUUUCACUUGAAUUGAAAAUUUGCUAUUGUUCCGAAUACAACCGUUAUGCGGCUUGAGUUUCGCUAAUAAGUUUUUAUUUGUUAUUAUUCAAAGAUAAAUAAACUUUAUAUAACUAAAGAAUUGUGAACAAAAAUACGGGAUCUUUAUGUGAGCUUAUUUUUCAUCAAACUAAGAAUAUAAACUUAGUGAAGCCCUCUGUAAUAACCGUUAAUCCCCAAGGAGCGGAGAAUGUUAUGUAUAGAUCUAUACGGAUUGACACCCCGUGCGCGGUUGCUAGCUACAACCUUCGUAUGACGAGACAAAACGGACGAUAACUUCUUAUUUUAUCUAAUUGUUGUUUUGACGUUGAUGAAGCGUCGUUGGAACUAUUUUAUAUUUAACAGAGGCGGAUACAAGUCUUAUAGCUUGGUUAUUAAACUCUACAUAACCCCGGAAAUCCAUUACCAAAAAUAUUAAUAUGAAUCAAAACGGAAGGUAUUGGUGUUAUUGGUUUAGUGAUAUUAUUUAUUUACAUAAGGUAAAUAAUUGGUAAUUCACUUAUUGAAAAUAUAUAAAUUGCUAUUUAUAUAUUCUAAAUAAUAUUGAUUUUGAGAUCUUAUACUGAUUCAAGAAAAUAUGUUCAUCUAAUUUAUAUUUAUUUGAAAUUUAUAAAGAUGUAUGUUUCCUUGGUUUAUAGUUCUUACAUUCAUAAAAAUUGCAUUUUAUUUUAUAAAACUCUCAGCGUCAAAACCUAUGGAGCUCACCAACAAUUUUGUUGACGUAUUUUUAAAAUGUGUGUAUUCUCAGGUAAAUAAGAAGUCGAAGGUAUGGCGUCGGUGCUAAGGAAAUAUUAUUUCCUUACUAUUAAAUAAUUGUGAUAUGUUUCUUUUUCUUUUUAUCGUCAAAUGUUAAAGUAUUGUAAUGCUUUCUUUUUUUUUUAAAAAAA